rnacentral:misc_RNA from 1 species
GGAAGGAUCAUUAACACGUAUCCACGUAUCAACCAACCGUGAAUUUGUUUUCAUUUCUCCCUCGACUCCACAUGUAUUGGGAAGGAUUGUAUGGUAUGAGUGGAAGCGCCGUCACACGCACUUCACCAUCGCUCCUCACUGUGUGCUUCGGUACACGACAAUAGUAGUGUUGUCGAGAUUAUUUCUGAUGAGUGCUGGCUUCACUCGGCUGGCCUCAUUAGAUGACUCCUCAUCAAUCACGAAUGUAACCACUCUUUUGCUAGUUGACUUUUAUAUAUGUUGAUAUACUGCACUUUUAUGUGCUUGUAUCACACGUUUAUUAAUUGAACGUUAUAAUACAACUCUUAGCAAUGGAUAUCUUGGUUCUCGCAACGAUGAAGAACGCAGCGAAAUGCGAUACGUAAUGCGAAUUGCAGAAUUCAGUGAAUCAUCAAAUCUUUGAACGCAAAUUGCGCUCUUGGGUAGCCCUAGGAGCACGCCUCUCUCAGUAUCGGUUCAAACACCACUCAGCUGCGUAUGCAACAUACGUGCAGGCUGGAGAAUGAGAGUCUACCUGUAUGGCAGUCUCUUGAAAUAUAUAGAGUGCACAUAAAUGAACGACACACCGAUGACUUGUCAUCUAGUUCUGCGAGACUGUUGUUCCAUAGUGACGUGAAUACUGACCUUUUGGUCUCAUCUUUUUACGUGUAUCUAUGUGAAUAAUACAAAGUCGAUGUCAGAGCGAAGCGUCGAUACAAUAUGAUGCAUGGAAAGAACACCAUAUGAUAUCUCCUUUUUGUUUCACACAAAAUGAUAUCUGAAUUUUGAUCUGAGAUGAAGCGAGACAACCCCCUGAAUUUAAGCAUAUUAAUAAGGGGAGGAAAAGAAACUAACAAGGAUUCCCCAGUAACGGCGAGUGAAGCGGGAAGAGCUCAAUUUGAAAAUCGAUUACCUAAACAGGUCAUCGAGUUGUAGCCUAGAGACGUACUAUCAGCUGAAACCUGGGUAUAAGUUCUUUGGAAUGAGGCAUCAUAGAGGGUGAGAAUCCCGUGUAUGACCCAAAGCUUUCAGCGUACGAUGUAUGUUCAUCGAGUCGAGUUGUUUGGGAUUGCAGCUCUAAAUGGGUGGUAAGUUUCAUCUAAAGCUAAAUAAUGGCGAGAGACCGAUAGCGAACAAGUACCGUGAGGGAAAGAUGAAAAGAACUUUGAAAAGAGAGUUAAAAGUACUUGAAAUUGCUAAGAGGGAAGCGCUGAAAACCAGUGAUACGGCGUGUCAAUCGCCUUCAGCCGUCCUAGUUCGUGUGUGACGUUGGUAACUCGGCAUGCGCGAACGAAAGGCAGGGUGGAGGUUUAUGAUACGUCGUGAGUCAAGAUCAAUUCGGAUUGUGGGAGAAGGUAGCGAGAAAGGUAGGAGAGCAAUCUCUGUUAUAUUCUUGUUACUCUACCUCGAUCUGGAUUGAGGAAGGAAUGGUGCGCCGCUUGCGGCUUGGUCCAGCGUCUCUGGAGUCCUAUCUGCUCUGAUAGCAAUGCUAUCUCUGUGGAAACCGGCUCUACUGGGCGUUGUGCUCCUAUGUGCCAUCACGAUCUUGUACGAAAUGGUUUUCAUCGACCCGUCUUGAAACACGGACCAAGGAGUCUAACAUCUAUGCAAGUAUUUGGGUGUAAAACCCUGAUGCGUAAUGAAAGUAAAGGCAGCUUGUCUGCUGAGGUAGGAAUCCCGCAAGGGAGGCACUAUCGACCGAUCAUCACUUGUGAAAGAUUUGAGUAAGAGCAUAUCUGUUGGGACCCGAAAGAUGGUGAUCUAUGCCUGAACAGGGUGAAGCCAGGGGAAACUCUGGUGGAGGCUCGUAGCGAUACUGACGUGCAAAUCGUUCGUCUGAUUUGGGUAUAGGGGCGAAAGACUAAUCGAACCAUCUAGUAGCUGGUUCCCUC